CCUAGCAGGAGUCACAGGGCUAAUGGAAGCCCAGUGGGAGCCAAGGGAGCUCAGUGGAAGUCAGAGAGUCAAUGGGAAGCCCCAGGAGGAGUCAGCAAGAAGGCGAUAAAGAGUUCAGGGUGUUUCUCCCCUUGGCUCCUCCCUGGCUUGGCCCUGCUUUCUCUGCCCAGCUCUGGAGUAACUGGGAAGAUCUUCAAUGAUCCAUAUCCCUGAGAAUUCACCGCAGCAACACAGAGCAUGAGGUGCCCUCAUCCCUACAGCCGGCCCUGCAGGUGGCUGGGGGAGGAUGCUGGGCUGCUGAGCAUGGAGAGGAUCUAAACUCUGGACAGCUCCCUCAAGGCAGCCAAGAAGUGAUGGAGGAGCCUCUGCAACCCCCUCCUCACAACGCCUGCUGCCCACGUCUGCUGACUCACCCAGGAGGGUCUGGACAUGCCAGAAGAAAUCUGAAAUGGCUCUCUAGUGAAGCACAAGGCUUUGGAAGGGGAUGGAGACUUGGAGGCAGGAACUUCCUGGAUGCUUUCACAGCCUCUGGUCCGCUCGUCCCAAUCAGCCCUCAGGACUGCUAUUAUCUCACUCCUCAUUUUAAAACUAUCCAUGUCUCCCUACUGCUGACUGGUAAAGUCCCAACUUAGAGGCAUGCAGGGGUCUUCACCAUCCUUCUUGCCUCCCAGCUCAUCCUUCCACUCCUCAUUCUGUUCAUGGAGCUAUUGAGCCCCAACAGAAUCUUUGCUGUUUCCUGAAGGUUCCACACACCUUCCCAACUCCACUCCUUUGCUCAUGCGGCUCUGGCACUACCCAAGCCUGGCAGAUGGGCCUUGGGGGAGAAACCAUAGCCAGAAUGUACCAGAAUAGCUCUAGGGAACCUACACACUACAAGAUGAGCUGCCCUGUCAGCCAAGAGGACCAACUGAAACAAUGUGUCCCGGGAAGUGUGGCAGGAGCAGCCGUGAAGGGAUGGUGCUCUGCUCCGAGAUUCUGGACUUGGGAAAAUAAUAAAAAUGUAAUGCAGAAUCCCACAGCAAAAAUUCCAAAGAACUGGAAAGAGGUCCCCUUGAUUCAUGGUUGAUUGGCCUAUAUAUUCACCUCCAUGCUUCUUUGGGAGGUGGGAUACAGGGAUUGGGGGGAUAUUGGCCCCAGACUCCUGGCUUCCUCUUCUUCACAAGGGCAGGCACAAACCGGGGUUCAUGUCUGUAUCUGCUACCUUGUGGCCUAUGAGACCUGACAGUUAUCCUCCCUUGAGUGAGUCCGUUCUAUAAAAGGGAGACAGAGCCAGAUGCUGUGGCUCACGCCUAUAAUCCCAGCAUUUUGGGAGGCCCACGUGGGAGGAUCACUUGAGCCCAGAAGUUAGAGACCAGACUUGGUAACAAAAUGAGUCUCUUUCUCAACAAAAAAUAAAAUAAAAAUAGUCAGGUGCGGUGGCGUGUGCCUGUAAUCCCAGCUAUUUGGGAACCUGAGGCAGGAAGACUGCUUGAGCCCAGGAGUUUAAGGCUGCAGUGAACUAUGAUUGCACCACUGUACUCCAAUCUGUCUCAAUAAAUAAAUAUAUAAGGCAGACUACACUAUGUUGGAUAAUUAAACACAACUACCUGGCACACAGUAGGUUCUCAAUAACCAGCAGAUGACAUUUACAUUUUCCUGUUCCUAAGGUCUGAUGUGGGGGUUGCUUCACAGGGCUUGAGUCCUGCCUUGGACCCUGGUCCAGGGCUGAGCAGGAGGCACCAGGUGUCCUUGGUGAGGGUGCUAAGGACACUGUGGAUGGUUCUUUUCCCCCAGAGACCUGAAGGACCUCCUGUGAGCUGUUUCAAAGAAGACACACUCACUCAGUCAACGCUGUGUUCCAGGAUCCUCACAGCUUGGGUGGAAGAUACAUUUAUCUAAUAUCACAUGCCCUCUUGAGCAGAGAGUGCAACAUUCACCCAGCCCUUCAGUAGCCUGGCGCUGGCACCACAGGCCCAUGGCCAGUCACCCUAGCCUCUCUGAGCAGGGUCCUUGUGGCAUGGGGAGAAGGACUCCACUCUGAGGACCUGGU